UUUUAUAGAGAGUCGAGUCAGUUAGGGGUGGUCGUUGGAAUAGGUAGGCGGACGUGGUAGAGAAGGUAAUAGGCUGACUAGUUCUAGAGUGGCGAACGGUAGUGGCUUGAUUAAGGGUUUGGUAGCGCCGACGUGAACAACUAAGUAAAGAAGGUUGAAGAGAAGCAGACUGCGUCAGACACCAACGCACCUCACGCGCCCGCGUAAGAGUUCCUAGACCUAGGAGCUGCUGGAGCACCUCAGGUCACCUCACAAGAGUUCCCAAAAUCGGUUCCACUACUGUACGGGCUGCCGAUCUCUUGGUACCGUCUCCACAACAUCAAACCAGGUUACCUCCUCCGACAAUACCUUGAGUGGCUCAGUAGGCGACUACCACUUAAUAACCUAGACUGAUGUCACUCUACGACCGGAGGAGUAACAAGAACGACCAGAGGAGUAACAAGAAGGACAGUUUGAUGAUAAUUUAACGAACGCCAGUAGCACGAGGAGCGGCCUGACCAACGCGACCAUCAACAACAACGAUGGCAGCGAGCGCAGCCACAUGACCAGUGCGACCAUCAAUAACAACAACGAUGACGGCAGCACGCCGAGCGGCCUGGCGCUGACCACCACCAAGACGUGACGCAAACUGCAGCCGUUCGCGACGUCCAAGAACUGUGCGUCAAUAAGACCACCCUCGGUACCGAUACACUAAGACCGGCCGCACGUACGUAUCAACCUCCUGCGGCUCGGAAAGAACUACGGCCGCUGUAGUCGAGUACAGUCGUAGUCCGUGGAAACAGUAAAACAAGUUCGUAUAAGCAGAGUCACGUAAGUAGGAGACUCGAUAGACUAUAACGUUGUCUAAGGGUAACGAUAGUAAACCGAGGAGAAAGUGUCCGUGGGCAAGCGUACUUUCAAACGGUCCAGAAAUUGAGUAUAGUGUUUCCAACUACGGUAGUAAAUAACCUUAAGACUCCGUAAUGGACCGGACCGACCAAAAGCACGGAGUAACAUUGGUCUUCACCAAAACCCAGUGAAGAAUGCUGCAACUAACCUCGUCAACCCGCAUUGAAGCAGCCCGCAGCUCACACGAAACCGCACUGAAGCAGCCUUCAGCUAACUUCGCCGGCCUCCACCGAAAACCACACCUGCAGCUCAGCGUACACCGAACAAGUUCAGUACCAACGACUGAAGAUUAACAAACCACCCACGAAUAGGCCGGCCGACAUGAAUAUAUUACCCAACGCAACUCCACCGGCUCUGACACACCUCUAGUCUAACACUUCAACAGACAUAAACAAAGACAAAACCUUGAAAGGAGUGCACCAGAUCACCAACAGGAAUAAAAAAAUCCAAGGAAUAAACAAAUCCAAACUGAUAAUAAAAAAGAAUAGGAACUGGAUAACUACCUUUUUAUAAAAAAUAAACACGUCCGAUCAACUACAAAGCUACCUGUACCUACAAAAAAAUUGAACACACGUGAUAAACAUGCACGGUACAACAUUAUCAACAUGCACGUGUAUAAAAAACUGCAUUGUAAACGUAGAAAAUUAGAGUCGGUAGUUGUUUAUUUAGCUUCCUAGUUCUUUUAAAUUAGAUACACCUGCGUGCACCACA
rnacentral:rRNA from 1 species